rnacentral:rRNA from 1 species
UACGAAGGGGGCUAGCGUUGCUCGGAAUCACUGGGCGUAAAGGGCGCGUAGGCGGCUGAUUUAGUCGAGGGUGAAAGCCCGUGGCUCAACCACGGAAUGGCCUUCGAUACUGAUUGGCUUGAGACCGGAAGAGGACAGCGGAACUGCGAGUGUAGAGGUGAAAUUCGUAGAUAUUCGCAAGAACACCAGUGGCGAAGGCGGCUGUCUGGUCCGGUUCUGACGCUGAGGCGCCAAAGCGUGGGGAGCAAACAGG